AGGAAAUGGGGCAGCCAGGAGUGCUUGAGAACAGAUGAGCCUCCCCAGGGAUACGAGGCGGCUUGUGAGGUCCUCUGGAGUCAGAAGAUGCCACCACCCCAGAGGAUGUGAGCCCACCUGUGGAGGUCUUGAUCCCCACCACUAGGAUGGGGCAAGCCCCAAGGUGGGUGACUACAUGAACUCCCUGUGGUGAGGGGUGAGUAGAAGCCCAUGGAAGCCUCCCCACUGCCAUGCAACCCCAUCGCAUCUCCACUGAACUCCGAGCAGAAAACGGCUGCCUGAUGGGAACUGUCAUUUAGGUUCCAAGGCUACUUUGGUGGAUCUGAGAAUAAAUCCCUCAAGACAAGGUCCUUGCUCUGCCCUUCUCCAGGGUGGGACCCAGAGUUACUGGCCCCUCCAUCCCAUGGAGCUGAUUCUGCAACCCUCACUUCCUAAGCACGUUAAAAAGAAGUCUGAGAGCCAAAAUACACACAGCCAGCUGUGAGUUACUACCUGCCUUACCCAGGAAAAGGACAUGAGCUGCCCAAGCACACACCUCUUUGCCAUCUAUGCCAGCAUUUUUACCUUCAAGGCCGAUGUUCUC
rnacentral:lncRNA from 1 species